rnacentral:lncRNA from 1 species
GAGUAUCUUCCUGCUAUUGAGAAAAUUGAUGUUAGCUCUUGUGUCAAGCUAUCGUCCCUGCCAGGUGAAAGAUUUGGGAAUUUCUCAGCUCUAAAGCAUCUGCGUAUUUCUUAUUGUGGAAAACUCAAAUGGAAGGGACUUGUUUUACCAUCGACCCUCCAAAGCCUCUGCUUAAGUUAUUGUGGGGAUAUCUCUCCCUGGGUUCCCAGUUGCCUGGAGAACCUUGCCUCCUUGGUGCGCCUGCUGAUUAACUCUUGCCAACAUGUACAAUACAUUCCCAGUUCACUAUGGAGCAGCAAUCUCUCAUCACUCCAGGAUUUGCGUAUUUUCAAUUGUAGUGACCUUGUAUCAAUUGGUGGAGCAGAUGCAAUUGUGAAAAUAAACAAGGUGAAGAUAGAAAACUGUCCAAAGUUGCAGGAAAUAUAGCAACCAAUGAGCAGAGGUGGCCUGUAGAUUUCAUGAUAUGUAUGUGAUAUGAAAGUUAAAGGAUUCAGUCUCUGAGUCUUUAUGGUAUGUAUGUGAUAAAUCCAAAAAUUUCCCUUCCAGCUCUUAC